AUCUUUUUUGAUUCAUAAGCAUGAUGAUUAAGUAUCCACAUUAUUAUGUGACAUGCACCUCCCUCAAAACUGUUAUGAAGUCGGAUACAUCACUCGUCUGACA